AACCUACCUUUUAGUAUGGGACAACGUUUGGAAACGAACGCUAAUACCGUAUACGCCCUCCGGGGGAAAGGUCAGCCGCUGAAAGAGGGGCCCGCGUCUGAUUAGCUUGUUGGUAAGGUAACGGCUUACCAAGGCUACGAUCAGUAGCUGGUCUGAGAGGAUGAUCAGCCACACUGGGACUGAGACACGGCCCAGACUCCUACGGGAGGCAGCAGUGGGGAAUAUUGGACAAUGGAGGCAACUCUGAUCCAGCAAUGCCGCGUGUGUGAUGGAGGCCCUAGGGUUGUAAAGCACUUUCAACGGUGAAGAUGAUGACGGUAGCCGUAGAAGAAGCCCCGGCUAACUUCGUGCCAGCAGCCGCGGUAAUACGAAGGGGGCGAGCGU
rnacentral:rRNA from 1 species